rnacentral:snoRNA from 1 species
UCCAGCCCACUGUUCGGAUUUUGUAAUAAUGAGUAAGAUUAAACAUUCUCUAAAUUAAGACCAUACAUGUGUCUCCAAACCUAGUCCUUUCCCAAGGUUUGGAUUAUAAGUACUGGUGAUAAAC